AUGAGAUUCAUGGCUCUUCUCUUCCUGGCGGCUCUGGCUGGGGCCCUGGUCUGUGCCCAAGAUGCCUCUGUGACCCGUGCUGAACCUGGUGCGGGGAUCACAGCUCCAGUGGAAUCUGCUUCACCCCAAGAGACGGCAGCAGGAGACGGGUUCGCCCCAGGGGAACAACUAAAACCCCUGAAAGACUUAGCAGAGAGAAGACUCUUGAAAGCAAGGCGUACCCUUGAAGAAGCAAGAAAAGGAGCGCGGGAAGGAAUUGAAGGUGGAAAAAAACUCUUCGAAGGUGAGUGCAUCCCAAGGCGAAGGCUUGUGGGGACAGGAAUACUCCCCGCCCACCCUCCAGGGGUGGGAGGUGGGUGAGCACACGUCCCCAUCUCCACUCCGUGCCUGACACCUGGAACCCCACAGCCUCCCCCACCUUGAAGCUUCCCUCGUGUUGUGUUUUCCCACGUCUCCAAUUUCUCAUCCACACUCAAACCGCCAUGGUUGUCUGAUACUAGACUCCCCUGGAGCCUGCCCCCAGCGCCCACUGCAGAGCUCACUUGCUUCUGUUUCUCUUCCUCUCACCCUUGCCCACGUGGGGGAAGAACGCAGGUCCUUCGGCUUCUUGGACUGUAACCUCCAUCCCUCUGACUUCUGUGUGAGGCCCGCCAGGGGCUCUGUGAGGUUGGAAGGCAGGAGAUGGAGUUGGGGAGGAUGGAAUGGGGGCAGCUGGUGCCUGCGGCCCUUCAAACCUCAUUCUCAUCUCAACUUUCUUCUAGGUGGAACUGAACUUUUAAGAAAACUGAGGGACAAAUUCAUUCCAAUUAAGCCCUAAGAACCUGAAAAGAAUGGGGUCUCUGGACUUAUCGCCUUAAACUUGCUUGCAGCUCAGAACAAUUAAACUGAAGCAUCCAACUUGCCGUGCGCUGUGCUCUGUGGGGUGGGCCCUGCAGGAGGGGUAGAAAAGCCCACCUGGAGUGCCGUGAGGCACCGGGUGUCCUGUCCUAGGCCUCGGCCACUUCAGC
rnacentral:lncRNA from 1 species